UGCAGAAAGGACAACUGAAGAGAGAUAUGUUGCACGUGAGGGAAACAACUCCGUGUCUAGGCCUUCUGAAGUUUCUGUCCUCCCAAACCUAGACUCUGGUCCACCAACUGUCUUUGCCAGUCAAAAGGAUCCAGGGUCAAAGAGAAACAUCACAGUCCGUUUAGGUGUGCAUGUGGCACUCUUCGGUCCAAGAGAAUUUAUUGUCCCUGAGUUACUUCUUGCCCUAUACAAAGAGCCAGUUCUCUACAGUCUUGGAGAGAACAGAGGGGUGCUUUCCCUGCGAAUACUGGGAAUAAGAAAGAGUGACCUCUGACCACUGUGAUUGCAUCACAUCGUGGACUCUUCUGAACCUCUCCACCUGAAAAUGCAGACCUCCUUCAAUUCUUUAUUCUCUGUUGUCUUCUUGUUUAUUUAUAGUCUAUCUCUGUAGUGCUGUCAAGAUU